AGGCUCAGCCUUCUGCCUAUCAUGCCAUGAACUGUUUCUCCUCUGUGAUGCCCCUCUGCCUUGGAGCCAGCUGACUCUGGGUUGAAACCCCUACAAACUAUGCGGCAAGAGUUGGAAAAAAGUAUAACUAGAGAAGUAAGAGAAGCUACUGUCGAACUUGAAUCUGGAUCCUUUAAAGUUUCUCCCACAAGAUCUGCUAAUAAAUCAAGCCAAGAUCUAAUUUCAGAAACAUCCCAAGAAUAUCUGGAGAUUUUAAGGAGAAGAUAUAUGAUUUGAAAAAUUAAUUUUAUUUAUUGAACUUUAUAUUUAUAACAUUUUAAUUAUUUCCCAUAAGUUGUAUGACAUGAAAACUUUGUUUAAAGAAAAAAAUGUUUGUAUCAUAGGUACAUGAUGAAAAUUUGUAUACUGUUUUAAACUGUUUCUUGACAUCUGUAACUCUUAAGUGAUAUUUGCAAGUAAAAACCAGUGUUACUGAGUUUUAUGUACUGAAACUUCCCAAAUGCCAGCUACUUUUUUCUUUUUUCAGUACGAGGAUUGAACUCAGGACCUUGCACUUGCAAGGCAGGCAUGGUGCCACUGAGCUGAAUCCCCAGCCCUGC
rnacentral:lncRNA from 1 species